AACGAACGCUGGCGGCAGGCCUAACACAUGCAAGUCGAACGCCCUAGCAAUAGGGAGUGGCAGACGGGUGAGUAACGCGUGGGAACCUUCCUUAUGGUGCGGAAUAACUCGCCGAAAGGCGUGCUAAUACCGCAUAAGCCCGCAAGGGGAAAGAUUUAUCGCCAUAAGAUGGGCCCGCGUAGGAUUAGCUAGUUGGCGGGGUAACGGCCCACCAAGGCUACGAUCCUUAGCUGGUUUGAGAGAANGGACCAGCCACACUGGACUGAGACACGGCCCAGACUCCUACGGGAGGCAGCAGUGGGGAAUCUUGGACAAUGGGCGCAAGCCUGAUCCAGCCAUGCCGCGUGAGUGACGAAGGCCUUCGGUUGUAAACUAC
rnacentral:rRNA from 1 species